CAGAGGGCCCCGCGUGCGGGCCCCCGCAGAGGCGGCCUUCCAAGGCGAGUUAGGGACCCCUGCGAAGGUCGAGCGAGGCGGCCGGUGAUGCUGAAGUGUGCGUGUGUCCAUGUAUUCCACAGACACUGUGCGCCUCCUCUGUGCAAUGGGCUUGUUGCUAGCCGGGGAAGUGGGAAAGACCCUGCUUUCGGGGAGCAAGCGUAUGACCCUUUGGACAAGGCUGACUAUAAAAAUGCAAACAUAUCCACAAGAUAAUGGUCCUGACUUAUGCUGUAAGAGGGACACGGCAAGGGAGUGAGGCAGCGUCAGAGCGCGGGGCACUUGCAACUUCAUCAAAAGCUCUGUUUCCAGGUCUGCUGUUGUGUGAUCUCCAAGCGCCUUUGCCUGUCUGGUUGCUAUUUCAUCUGUACAGUGCAGGAGCUGUUUUGGUUGAUCCGAAACACCUUUUUAAUUUUUUUCUACCACAACUGCUAAGCCCGGUUCAACCAGUGAAGGUGUGACCUGCGCAGAGUUCCUGGAUGUGCUCUGGACUUACUUGCCUUCCUGGUUUCUGGGUAGCCAGCCUCUACCGUGAACAAGGGUGAGUACCUAAGACAUUUUUAAGUACCCUUUAAAGACCUCUAGGCAACCAUAACAGAGGUCAACAAAUGAAACCCAAGUAUGAAUAAACAGGAAGAAGAGUCUGAAGAUUGCAGUGGACCGUCUAAUGGUGCAGUGUAUCACCCACAGUACUCACUGAAGGGACAGUCUCGAGCCGGCCACCUUAGCGCCUUCCCUUCUCGGCCUUGCUGAUAAACCCUGAGGGAACCAGGACCCAAGGCAGCCAAUCCAGAGAUGUAUCAUGUGCCUUGGCAGAAAAAUAGAUGGGCUGCCUUAGGAACGUGAAAGAGGAGUUCCCGCAGGGAGGAGACCAGCAGCUGGUGCAGGAAUUGAAAGGAGAAGAGAGGUCAGAGAGUGACCACGUGACUCGGAGAGUGCUGGAGUAACCAGCCAGCCCCCAGAGUGAGCCUCACCCUCUCCUGCCUCUGGUCCAGGCUCUGUCCCAGUUUGUUGCACUCAUCUUGAAAGCAAGCUCAGCCCUUCUUUUUAAAAAAAAUUUUUUUGAGACAGGGUCUUGCUCUGUCACUCAGGCUGGAGUGCAAUG